rnacentral:rRNA from 1 species
CUAGCAUGAAGUCAGACAAGUGAACCCGCUGAAUUUAA